rnacentral:rRNA from 1 species
UACGAAGGGGGCAAGCGUUGUUCGGAAUUACUGGGCGUAAAGCGCGUGUAGGCGGGUCCUUAAGUCAGGGGUGAAAUGCCGAGGCUCAACCUCGGAACUGCCUUUGAUACUGGGGAUCUUGAGUCCGGGAGAGGUGAGUGGAACUGCGGGUGUAGAGGUGAAAUUCGUAGAUAUUCGCAAGAACACCAGUGGCGAAGGCGGCUCACUGGCCCGGAACUGACGCUGAGACGCGAAAGCGUGGGGAGCAAACAGG